rnacentral:tRNA from 1 species
GCGGGUGUGGCGGAAUUGGCAGACGCACUAGACUUAGGAUCUAGCGCCUUUGGCGUGGGGGUUCGACUCCCUCCACCCGCACCA